rnacentral:rRNA from 1 species
UACAGAGGUCUCAAGCGUUGUUCGGAUUCAUUGGGCGUAAAGGGUGUGUAGGUGGCGCUGUAAGUCGGGUGUGAAAUUUCGGAGCUUAACUCCGAAACUGCAUUCGAUACUGCGGUGCUUGAGGACUGGAGAGGAGACUGGAAUUCAUGGUGUAGCAGUGAAAUGCGUAGAGAUCAUGAGGAAGACCAGUGGCGAAGGCGGGUCUCUGGACAGUUCCUGACACUGAGACACGAAGGCCAGGGGAGCAAACAGG